GAAGAAUUUAAACAGAAGAAUAGUUUAAAUUUGAACAUCAGCAAAGGAUUACUCCUUGGUGAAAUAAAAUUUUAAAAAGUACUUUCCAAAAAAUAAAAUGAGGACUUUUUGUAUUUUUGUCUAUAAAGUUUUACUAUAUAAUCAUUAUAAAGGAUCUAAUUUCAUUAGACUCAAUUAUUUAUAAUAAGGAAGACAUUUGGAGCACCUGGCUGGCUCAGCUGAUGGAGCAUGUGACUCUUGAUCUCGGGGUUCAUGAGUUUGAGCCCCACAUUAGGUGAACAGACUGCUUUAAAAAAUUCUUUUCUUUUUUAAAUAAAGAAGACGCGUAAAUCACAAAGAAAUGAAAUGUUCAAAUUAUUUAUAAAGUUAGUUUCAGCGUAAUUUCACUUUCCUCCGCCACAGGCUUUCUUCAUCCAACAAGUCACAGAAUUUGACUACACUGGGGAAGAUUUAGAGUGACCAAAAAGAGGAUCCAGUAAAAGAAAGGAAAAGUGGUCAAAGACCUGGAGAACGCACAGAUUGGAAGCAAUUUCAGAAAAGAAUGGUGAAGCAUGUUACCAGUGGUAACCCCUUGGGGGAGAUUCCUCCCAAUGCAGUUUAACUUCACUGGUCAAGAUCUUCAACACCCUGCUGAAGCGGAAAUCAAGCUAUCCUUGAGUCUCUGUUAUGGAAGAUCUGUCAGUCUGCCGAGAGAGCACACCCUGUUCUGCUCCUCCAUUCUGCAAACUUCAGAGUGACAGACUCUGCCUGUGAAGUUAGAAGCCAGCAGUUACCCAAUGCUGUCUGUGACCAUGUGGAUAAAUCUGCUUAACUUUGGGGUUCAUUGUCAGUGCCCACAACUGUAUGCCAUGCUCUCCAACAGCAUUUUUAUUAGUAAUAAAGGUGAUAUUUCAUCUCUG